CGGGACUUCAACUCCUAACUUGGGCUAACAAUUCUUUGCGCCGAUGACCUCUGUCUGAAUUUCUGAGGACGGAGUCGUGAAAGAGUUAAAAAAGUAAGUUGGAGAUGAAGAAGCGAUUUUUCCAAGAUCACAGAGGCUUCAGAUCAAAUGCUGAAGUUUCCAGCUGGCCUCAUGUUAAGGAGUUCCCUUCUUCCCUGACCGCAGGAGCCACGUGUGAGCGUAGAAAUACGAGCUGCAGAUUUGCAUGUAUUCGUGUCUGUGACAGCAGAGCCCUCCAAGCACUGUGCCCACCUUAGUGACAGUGGUGGGUGCCAGGGGCAGGCAUGAGUUGUUUACAUUGGCAAAUACAUUUCAACAAAACCCAGGCUGCUGGUCAGUGCUCCAUCAGCUCCUCAGACAGACAGUGCUGUGCAGAGCUAGACUUUGCUCGAAGACUGCAAAGUGCCUUUUAAAAAAUAUUUGGUUCCUCAUUGUUG